rnacentral:rRNA from 1 species
GACAGAGGCCCCGAGCGUUAGGCGGAAUCACUGGGCUUAAAGCGUGUGUAGGCGGGCCCGUAAGUGUCUUGUGAAAUCCCACGGCUCAACCGUGGAACUGCUGGGCAUACUGCGGGUCUUGGGCCAACUAGGGGCAGCCGGAACAAGCGGUGGAGCGGUGAAAUGCGUAGAGAUCAGCAGGAACACCCGUGGCGAAGGCGGCCCCCUGGGCCGUACCUGACGCUGAGGCGCGAAGGCUAGGGGAGCGAACGGG